rnacentral:tRNA from 1 species
GCACAUCAGCCAAUGGUUAGGAUUCCACCCUUCCAUCCAAUUAGAUAGGUGGAGGUCCGUGUUCGAUUCACGGAGGUUGCA